GUUUGGGAGGAGUUUACGAACUCCGAGUGGUGAAGGAUAGUGCCAAGAAAAGCUGGCUAUGUGAUGAAGAUAGAACACCCGUACCCGAAACCGACACAGGUAGGGAGGUUGAGAAUACCAAGGGGCGCGAGAUAACUCUCUCUAAGGAACUCGGCAAAAUGGCCCCGUAACUUCGGGAGAAGGGGUGCCCACCUCAGACGUGGGUCGCAGUGAAGAGAUCCAGGCGACUGUUUACCAAAAACACAGGUCUCCGCCAACUCGCAAGAGGACGUAUGGGGGCUGACGCCUGCCCAGUGCCGGAAGGUUAAGGAAGCUGGUCAGCGAAAGUAAAGCUGGCGACUGAAGCCCCGGUGAACGGCGGCCGUAACUAUAACGGUCCUAAGGUAGCGAAAUUCCUUGUCGGGUAAGUUCCGACCCGCACGAAAGGCGUAACGAUCUGGAUGGUGUCUCAGAGAGAGACUCGGCGAAAUAGGAAUGUCUGUGAAGAUACGGACUGCCUGCACCUGGACAGAAAGACCCUAUGAAGCUUUACUGUAGCCUGGAAUUGUGUUCGGGCUUCGCUUGCGCAGGAUAGGUGGGAAGCGGUGAACUAUUCCUUUUGGGGAAUAGGGAGCUAACGGUGAGAUACCACUCUGGCGAAGCUAGAAUUCUAACCCACGACCGUCAGCCGGUUGGGGAACAGUUUCAGGUGGGCAGUUUGACUGGGGCGGUCGCCUCCUAAAAAGUAACGGAGGCGCGCAAAGGUUCCCUCAGCACGCUUGGAAACCGUGCGACGAGUGUAAAAGCAAAAGGGAGCUUGACUGCGAGACUGACAAGUCGAGCAGGUACGAAAGUAGGCUUUAGUGAUCCGACGGCGCAGAGUGGAAUGGCCGUCGCUCAACGGAUAAAAGUUACUCUAGGGAUAACAGGCUGAUCUCCCCCAAGAGUCCACAUCGACGGGGAGGUUUGGCACCUCGAUGUCGGCUCAUCGCAACCCGGGGCGGAAGUACGUCCCAAGGGUUGGGCUGUUCGCCCAUUAAAGCGGUACGUGAGCUGAGUUCAGAACGUCGUGAGACAGUUCGGUCCAUAUCCGGUGCAGGCGCAAGAGUAUUGAGAGGAGUCCUCCUUAGUACGAGAGGACCGGGAGGAACGCACCGCUGGUGUACCAGUUAUUGUACCAACAGUAAACGCUGGGUAGCCAAGUGCGGAGAGGAUAACCGCUGAAAGCAUCUAAGUGGGAAGCCCACCUCAAGAUGAGUACUCUCACUACAAAAAGUAGGUAAGGUCACGGGCAGAACACCCGUUAAUAGGCUCUAAGUGGAAGUGCAGUAAUGUAUGAAGCUGAGGGGUACUAAUAGACCGAGGGCUUG
rnacentral:rRNA from 1 species